rnacentral:ribozyme from 14 species
CAGUCAAAGCAAAAAAGAAAAAAUGGCAAAAAGAAAAAAUGGCAAAAAC